GAGAAAGUAGCUCAGCGGUAGAGCAAUCGUCUUACACACGAACGGUCAGGUGUUCAAAUCACUUUUUUCUCA